rnacentral:rRNA from 1 species
UAAUACGUAGGGUCCAAGCGUUAUCCGGAAUCACUGGGCGUAAAGCGUGCGUAGGUGGCGUGUUAAGUGUGAUGUUAAAUCGCGGGGCUCAACCCUGUCGAUGCAUCGCAUACUGGCAUGCUAGAGGGAAGCAGAGGCAAGUGGAAUUUGUAGUGUAGCAGUGAAAUGCGUAGAUAUUACAAGGAACACCAAUGGCGAAGGCAGCUUGCUGGGCUUCUUCUGACACUGAGGUACGAAAGCGUGGGGAGCGAACAGGAUUAGAUACCCUGGUAGUCCACGCCGUAAACGAUGCAUACUAGUCUUAUGGGGUAUCGACCCCCUGUGAGACGCAGCUAACGCGAUAAGUAUGCCGCCUGGGAAGUACGGCCGCAAGGCUA